rnacentral:rRNA from 1 species
AAUGAACGCUGGCGGCGUGCCUAACACAUGCAAGUCGGAUGUGCCCGCAAGGGUGCAUGGCAGACGGGUGAGUAACGCGUGGGGAAUCUACCUUUUAGUGGGGAAUAACGCUCCGAAAGGAGUGGUAAUACCGCAUGUGACCAUUGGCUGGGAUGUUGAUGGUGAAACCCUGGGACCUUCGGGCCAGGGGCUAAAAGAGGAUCCUGCGUCUGAUUAGCUAGUUGGCGGGGUAACGGCCCACCAAGGCGACGAUCAGUAGCCGGCCUGAGAGGGUGAUCGGCCACACUGGAACUGAGACACGGUCCAGACCCCUACGGGAGGCAGCAGUGGGGAAUUUUGCGCAAUGGACGAAAGUCUGACGCAGCAACGCCGCGUGGGUGAUGAAGGUCUUCGGAUUGUAAAACCCUAGUCGCCAGGGACGAAGGGUGAGGUGUGAAUAGCGCCUUACUUUGACGGUACCUGGAAAGGAAGCCCCGGCUAACUCUGUGCCAGCAGCCGCGGUAAGG